rnacentral:rRNA from 1 species
GCCUAACGGCUGAACUGGCAACUUGGAGAAGUGGCAAGUUUUAUAAUUAAUAGUAAUUAAUAUUUCUAUUUUUAUAUAAUUAUAUUGGAAUGAAUGAAGCUUUGUUUAUAUAUUGAUAAUGACAGUAUAUAUAUCGUGUCUUGACCAAUUACGUGCCAGCAGUCGCGUAAUACGUAAGAGACUAGUGUUAUUCAUCUUAAUUAGGUUUAAAGGGUACCCAGACGGUCAAUAUAGCUUCUAUAAUGUUAGUACUUGACUAGAGUUUUAUGUAAGAGGGCAGAACUUGAGGAGGAGAGAUGAAAUUCCGUGAUACCAAAGGGACUCGGUAAAGGCGAAGGCAGCCCUUUAUGUAUAAACUGACGUUGAAGGACGAAGGCACAGAGAACAAACAGGAUUAGAUACCCUAAUAGUCUUUGCAGUAAAUGAUGAAUGCCAUAGGUCAGAUAAAUAAUAUUUGGUCUAUAAAUGAAAGUGUAAGCAUUUCACCUCAAGAGUAAUGUGGCAACGCAGGAACUGAAAUCACUAGACCGUUUCUGACACCAGUAGUGAAGU